CUUCCGCUGCCGACCCUCGCUGGUGCUGCAGUGCGGUGCCCAACUCCUGGCGCGGCCCGGCUUCACACUUCUUCCAUGACCCGGCUCCCUCGGGUUGCGUUUGAGGACAUUCUGCUGAAUUGAAGGAGGGUGGAGCAGCAGAGGGCGGUACAGGCCCAUGGACACCACUUUGAACUCUACUCCAACUGCCUCAUCUUCCCUUUGACCUGGACAUGGAGUCUCUGAGUCAAGGCCACUCAGGUUCCAAUGAUGCUCUUACUCUGUGCCAGAAACUAUGGUGGACUAACAAACUAUGCUCAGCUGCAAUUGUAAUUUGGAGAGGAUUUCAUUCAAUGAUCAAAAGAACCACGCAUGCAUCCAUACCUUUGCCUGGAUCUCUCCCACUGUUAUAAUGAGCGUGUGAAUAGCUUGGAAAUGAGUACCAGCAUGGAUCGUGAGAGUCACUGAACCAGUGUAUUUGCUUGGCUCAGCUGACUGUUCCUGUGCACAAAUUUCAGGUGGUUAACACUACAGAGGCUCGUUUCUCGCUCAUGUAAUACAUCAAUACUGGUGUUUGGUGGUGAUUUGAGGAGUGUGGCUUCAUCCAUCUGUGACUUCAUAAUACCCCAAGGUCUUAUAUUUCUCUUAUGCAUCUCUGUAUCCAGCUGGAAACAGGAGAAAAAGAGAACAUGGAUAUUUCUGCAGGAGCAUUUAGGGGACAAAUCUGGAGUUGGUGGCAGGGCCCCCUUUCCCACUCCAUUAGCCAAGGCUCAACCCGCCAGGUAAACAGAAGGGAAGACAGGAUAAGCAAUAGAGUUUGAGCCCCCUGAAAAAGUAAAACAUAUUUGAUGAACACUAAUCAGCCUCUGCCAUAGUCUGGUUACUCAUCGCUGUAACAAAAAAUACAUGUAUCUCCUCUAAGAGAGCCAACUGAAAACCCAUUUAAUUAUUGUAUCCAGUUAAAAUUUCAAAUCUUCAAAGAAUACAUAAUUCUCAGUAAUUCCUCAUGGUGCAGUGAUGGAUACACUAAAGAGACAUUAAUUGGCAUCCACACCCACCCAGCUGCCACCCGCACCCACACCCACCUGACAUCCCAUGGGGAAAUAGCUCAGCAAGCUUAUUCACAAAGAUGAAGAAUACAAAAACAACAUAGAGAUUGGCCUGUACCAUUUCUGAAAUCCUGCCCUGUCACCUUCGGGGGUUUUCUACUCACAGGAUACAAAAAUUUUAUUGUUUAGAUCACAUUCUUUAAGAGAUUUUUCACUGACUUAUAGUGGUCCUUAGCAUUCUCCUCAGGCAGGUUCUUCAUUUUCCAUUUUGAUCCAUGGCUAACAAUGGCCUAGAAAAUCCUGGCAUAUAGUGUCUGUCUUUAUAUGUUAUCCACAACCCACCUUCUAGUCUUCAAAGCAUCAUGCAGCUCUUGUCAGGGUCUAUAAAGUUGGCUAUCUUAGAAAUCUGAUUUAUUAACUCUGACAUUUUUGGAAUUUAAGGAUCAUUUUGUUGGAAUAAUCAGAUAAUUUUUGAGAGAGUAGAAGCCUAAGUUCAUGGUUUCUUUGAAAUAUAACUCAAAGAAAAAUAUAGGAUUGUGUUAUGCCAACUAGCUUGGAUACCAGUAGCUUCACCUAGUUUAAUUUUCUGAAUACAAUCCUCCUGUUAUUUAGACAAAGAUAAUACUAUCUCAUGGGCAUUGGAAAACUCAUCCUGGAUGCUCAAAAACAUAAGAAAUUUAGUGAAAUACUUGGCUUUUUCUUUAAACUGAGAACAUUUUGGGCUAUUUGGAAUUCAGUCUUAUUCAGUCUAUUUAUUUUAGUCUUACAUCUUGCAGUUGGGCUUCCAGAUACAAUAUAAUUGUAAUUUCCAAACUUUGAGACUCUUGAUCUGAAGACUUCCAGCAUUUUCCCAAUAUAUUGUGAAACAUGCCAAAAUUCUCACCUGACAAUUUUGUCAUAUUAUACUCUAACAAGAAAGCUAACAAACAUCAACCCACAAGUCCUCCCUGCUUUCCAGCUUGAGCAGGGAUCCCCCGCAAACCCAUCAUCAGAACAGAUCAGCAAUGGAACCAGCCAACCAUAGUCCAAAAUCUCUGAAACCGAGUUAAAAUAAAUCGCUCUUCCUCUGGAUGUCAGAUAUUUUGUCUUAGCAAUGGAAAGUCAAUUAAUUUGUUAUUAAUAAUAUAUACAGUCUUAACUACUAACAGAUUCGUGUAAAUAUAGAUAUAUGAAUAUGAAUGUUAAUAUAA